GCGUUGCAUAUUCUUCAGGAAUAUGCAGUGUCGUAACGAAGGUGUUAAGCUCGCCGCCUGGGAAGUAUGGUCGCAAGACUGAAACUUAAAGGAAUUGGCGGGGGAGCACCACAAGGGGUGCGGCGUGCGGUUUAAUCUAACUCAACGCAGAGAAUCUCACCAGAGGCGACGGCAGGAUGAAGGUCAGUCUGAAGGGCUUACCCGACGAGCCGAGAGGUGGUGCAUGGCCGCCGUCAGCUCGUGCCGUGAGGUGUCCUGUUAAGUCAGGUAACGAGCGAGACCUGUACCUACAAUUGCUAACAACCAAUUUAUUGGGAUUGAGCACAAUGUGGGAACUGCCCUGGAAACAGGGAGGAAGGUGCAGGCUACGGUAGGUCUGUAUGCCCCGAAUCUUCUGGGCUACACGCGCGCAACAAUGGUAGGGACAACGGGAUGCAACUCCGAAAGGAGAAGCCAAACCUCAAAACCCUAUCUUAGUUCAGAUUGAGGGCUGUAACUCGCCCUCAUGACGAUGGAAUCCCUAGUAAUCCCAUGUCAUCAUCGUGGGGUGAAUAUGUCCCUGCUCCUUGCACACACCGCCCGUCAAACCAACCGAGCAUAGUUUUGGUGAGUGCUAGUUUUUUGACUAGUCCGAAUCUAAGCUAAGUGAGGUGGGUUAAGUCGUAACAAGGUAGCC
rnacentral:rRNA from 1 species